UACAGAGGGUGCAAGCGUUAAUCGGAAUCACUGGGCGUAAAGGGCGCGCAGGCGGUUAGAUAGGUGAUAGGUGAAAGACCUGGGCUUAACCCGGGGGCGUCCUAUCAAACGGUUUAACUAGAGUGAGAGAGAGGGGAGUGGAAUUUCCGGUGUAGCAGUGAAAUGCGUAGAGAUCGGAAUGAACAUUCGUGGCGAAGGCGGCUCCCUGGCUCUACACUGACGCUCAGGCGCGAAGGCAUGGGGAGCAAACAGG
rnacentral:rRNA from 1 species